rnacentral:pre_miRNA from 8 species
GCUGUCUCCAUGGCGACCGUGGCAUUAGAUUGUUACUGUAGGAACAGAAUUUUUGGUAACAGUCUACAGCCAUGGUCGCUAGUGGGCAG